AGGGCUAUAGCUCAGUGGUAGAGCACCUCGUUUACACCGAGAAUGUCUACGGUUCAAAUCCGUAUAGCCCUA
rnacentral:tRNA from 1 species